rnacentral:rRNA from 1 species
AUGGCGGAUUUGAAGGCUCCGGCCAAGGCGAGGAGGCUGGCGCCGCCCAUGUCGUGGCGGACGCGCCUGUCGAUCUUCGCCGCGGGUUACCUCACCGACGCCACCUGCCGCGCUGACGGCACAAUCAACCGCCGCCUGCUCACCUACCUCGACCCCGGCGUCCCGCCCUCCGCCGCCCCGCGCAACGGCGUCUCCUCCCGCGACAUCGACGUCGACCCCGCGACCCCGCUCCGGGCCCGCCUCUUCCACCCCGUGGGCCUGCCCGGCCCGCUCCCGGUUGUCCUGUUCUUCCACGGCGGCGGGUUCGCCUACCUCUCCGCGGCCUCCCUCGCCUACGACGCCGCGUGCCGCCGCAUCGCCAGGUACUGCGGCGCGGCCGUGCUGUCGGUUGACUACCGCCGCUCUCCGGAGCACCGGUUCCCGGCGGCGUACGACGACGGGUUCUCCGCGCUCCGCUUCCUCGACGACCCCAAGAAGCACCCCGCCGACGUCGCGCCCCUCGACGCCUCCCGCUGCUUCCUCGCCGGGGACAGCGCAGGCGCCAACAUCGCCCACCACGUCGCCCGCCGCUACGCCAUGUCCUCCCCGUCCUUCGCCAACGUCCGGAUCUCCGGCCUCAUCGCCAUCCAGCCCUUCUUCGGCGGCGAGGAACGGACUCCCUCCGAGCUCCAGCUGGAGGGCGCGCCCAUCGUGUCCAUCUCCCGCUGCGACUGGAUGUGGCGCGCCUUCCUCCCGCCAGGUGCCGACCGGACGCACGAGGCCGCGCACGCGGCUUCCCCUGCGGCCGCGGCCGGCAUCGACUCCCCGGCGUUCCCGCCGGCGGUGGUGGUGGUCGGCGGGUACGACCCGCUCCAGGAUUGGCAGCGGCGGUACUGCGAGAUGCUGACCUCCAAGGGAAAGAAGGUGCGGGUGCUGGAGUACCCCGAAGCCAUCCACGCCUUCUAUGUCUUCCCGGAGUUCGCCGAGUCCAAGGACCUCAUGCUGAGGAUGAAGGAGUUCGUCGCCGGGAGCGACGGCGGCAAGUGA